AGCACCCUACACAAUAUCAAGCAUCAUCAAUGCACCUACUGGAUUAAAGAGGAGGGUGUUGAAGACGGUCCCACCAUUGCCAGCUUCAUGAAACGCUUCUUUACCUCCGGGGAACGUUUCGUAGGAUAUUGUGUCUCGUACAGAGGUGGGUAGACCGGGUACACGCCCGAGUGGUGGGGAGACACUGAGUAACCAUGCCCCACAGCAAUGGAGGUAUUCUGAGAAGGGGAGAAACAGUACACUGAACAGCUACUAGUAUGUAUGACUUCUAUGUAGUCUCUGCUUGACAUUGUACAGACUGCAAAUUUUCAAUCUCGAUAGGGAUGGCAAUAGUUGUCCUGGUGCAGUGA